CCUACGGGUGGCUGCAGUAAGGAAUAUUGGGCAAUGGAGGCAACUCUGACCCAGCCAUGCCGCGUGGAGGAUGAAGGUCCUCUGGAUUGUAAACUUCUUUUAUUUGGGAAGAAAUGCCGAUUUUCUAAUUGGUUUGACGGUACCAGAUGAAUAAGCACCGGCUAACUCCGUGCCAGCAGCCGCGGUAAUACGGAGGGUGCAAGCGUUAUCCGGAUUCACUGGGUUUAAAGGGUGCGUAGGCGGGCAUAUAAGUCAGUGGUGAAAUCCCCGAGCUU
rnacentral:rRNA from 1 species